AUUGAACGCUGGCGGCAGGCCUAACACAUGCAAGUCGAGCGCGCUGCGCACGGUUGAGUAAUGUCUGGGAAACUGCCCGAUGUAGUGUUAUAACUACUGGAACCGGUCGCUACUACCGCAUACCCUCCUAUGCGCCCAUAUGGGAUUAGCUAGUAGGUGGGGUAAUGGCUCACCUAGGCGACGAUCCCUAGCUGGUCUGAGAGGAUGACCAGCCACACUGGAACUGAGACACGGUCCAGACUCAUACGGGAGGCAGCAGUGGGGAAUAUUGAACAAUGGGCGCAAGCCGGAUGCAGCCAUGCAGCGUGUGUGAAGAAGGCCUUCGGGUUGUAAAGUACUUUCAGCGGGGAGGCGUUAGCCGAAGAAGAAGCACCGGCUAACUCCGUGCCAGCCGCCGCGGUAAUUA
rnacentral:rRNA from 1 species